rnacentral:rRNA from 1 species
AGUGAACGCUGGCGGUAGGCCUAACACAUGCAAGUCGAACGGCAGCACAGUAAGAGCUUGCUCUUACGGGUGGCGAGUGGCGGACGGGUGAGGAAUACAUCGGAAUCUACUUUUUCGUGGGGGAUAACGUAGGGAAGCUUACGCUAAUACCGCAUACGACCUACGGGUGAAAGCAGGGGAUCUUCGGACCUUGCGCGAUUGAAUGAGCCGCUGUCGGAUUAGCUAGUUGGCGGGGUAAAGGCCCACCAAGGCGACGAUCCGUAGCUGGUCUGAGAGGAUGAUCAGCCACACUGGAACUGAGACACGGUCCAGACUCCUACGGGAGGCAGCAGUGGGGAAUAUUGGACAAUAGGCGCAAGCCUGAUCCAGCCAUACCGCGUGGGUGAAGAAGGCCUUCGGUUUGUAAAGCCCUUUUGUUGGGAAAGAAAAGCAGCAGGUUAAUACCCCGCUGUUCUGACGGUACCCAAAGAAUAAGCACCGGCUAACUUCGUG